CGAGCAUAAUGAUGAUUCAAAAUAUUAUCCGAAAAUUCAUGAAAGGAAUACCAACCUCCUACUCAUUCUGA
rnacentral:snoRNA from 2 species